UACGGAGGGAGCUAGCGUUGUUCGGAAUUACUGGGCGUAAAGCGCACGUAGGCGGCUUUGUAAGUUAGAGGUGAAAGCCCGGGGCUCAACCCCGGAAUUGCCUUUAAGACUGCAUCGCUUGAAUCCGGGAGAGGUGAGUGGAAUUCCGCGUGUAGCAGUGAAAUGCGUAGAGAUGCGGAGGAACACCGAUGGCGAAGGCAGCCCCCUGGGUCGACACUGACGCUCCAGGCACGAAAGCGUGGGGAGCAAACAGG
rnacentral:rRNA from 1 species